AUUGAACGCUGGCGGCAGGCUUAACACAUGCAAGUCGAGCGAGCGGCGGACGGGUGAGUAAUGUCUGGGAAACUGCCUGAUGGAGGGGGAUAACUACUGGAAACGGUAGCUAAUACCGCAUACCAUCAGAUGUGCCCAGAUGGGAUUAGCUAGUAGGUGGGGUAAUGGCUCACCUGGGCGACGAUCCCCAGCUGGUCUGAGAGGAUGACCAGCCACACUGGAACUGAGACACGGUCCAGACUCCUACGGGAGGCAGCAGUGGGGAAUAGUGGACAAUGGGCGAAAGCCUGACGCAGCCAUGCCGCGUGUGUGAAGAAGGCCUUCGGGUCGUAAAGCACUGUUAUCGAGGAGGCGGUAUCUGAAGAAGAAGCACCGGCUAACUCCGUGCCAGCAGCCGCGGUAAUUC
rnacentral:rRNA from 1 species